UUCUGAAAGUUUUCCGGAAUGCAUUUAA
rnacentral:piRNA from 1 species